rnacentral:snRNA from 1 species
GUGCUUGCUUCAGCAGCACAUAUACUAAAAUUGGAACAAUACAGAGAAGAUUAUCAUAGCCCCUGUGCAAGGAUGGCAUGCAAAUUCGUGAAGCGUUGCAUAUUUUU